rnacentral:rRNA from 1 species
UACGAAGGUCCCAAGCGUUGUUCGGAAUCACUGGGCGUAAAGGGAGCGUAGGCUGCGCGGUAAGUCAGAUGUGAAAUCCCGGGGCUCAACCCCGGAACUGCAUCCGAUACUGCCGUGCUUGAGGGUUGGAGAGGUAGCUGGAAUUCUCGGUGUAGCAGUGAAAUGCGUGGAUAUCGAGAGGAACACUCGUGGCGAAGGCGAGCUACUGGACAACAUCUGACGCUGAGGCUCGAAGGCCAGGGGAGCAAAA